CCUGGUUGAUUCUGCCAGUAGUCAUAUGCUUGUCUCAAAGAUUAAGCCAUGCAUGUCUAAGUAUAAGCAAUUAUACCGCGAAACUGCGAAUGGCUCAUUAUAUAAGUUAUCGUUUAUUUGAUAGUACCUUACUACUUGGAUAACCGUGGUAAUUCUAGAGCUAAUACAUGCUAAAAAUCCCGACUUCGGAAGGGAUGUAUUUAUUAGAUUAAAAACCAAUGCCCUUCGGGGCUCACUGGUGAUUCAUGAUAACUCCUCGAAUCGCAUGGCCUUGUGCCGGCGAUGGUUCAUUCAAAUUUCUUCCCUAUCAACUUUCGAUGUUUGGGUAUUGGCCAAACAUGGUUGCAACGGGUAACGGAGGUUAGGGCUCGACCCCGGAGAAGGAGCCUGAGAAACGGCUACUACAUCCAAGGAAGGCAGCAGGCGCGCAAAUUACCCAAUCCCGACACGGGGAGGUAGUGACAAUAAAUACUGAUACAGGGCUCUUUUGGGUCUUGUAAUUGGAAUGAGUACAAUUAAAUCCCUUAACGAGGAACAAUUGGAGGGCAAGUCUGGUGCCAGCAGCCGCGGUAAUUCCAGCUCCAAUAGCGUAUAUUAAAGUUGUUGUGGUUAAAAAGCUCGUAGUUGAACCUUGGGCCUGGCUGGCCGGUCCGCCUCACCGCGUGUACUGGUCCGGCCGGGCCUUUCCCUCUGUGGAACCCCAUGCCCUUCACUGGGUGUGGCGGGGGAACAGGACUUUUACUGUGAAAAAAUUAGAGUGCUCCAGGCAGGCCUAUGCUCGAUACAUUAGCAUGGAAUAAUAGAUAGGACGUGUGGUUCUAUUUUGUUGGUUUCUAGGACCGCCGUAAUGAUUAAUAGGGACAGUCGGGGGCAUCAGUAUUCAAUUGUCAGAGGUGAAAUUCUUGGAUUUAUUGAAGACUAACUACUGCGAAAGCAUUUGCCAAGGAUGUUUUCAUUAAUCAGGAACGAAAGUUAGGGGAUCGAAGACGAUCAGAUACCGUCGUAGUCUUAACCAUAAACUAUGCCGACUAGGGAUCGGACGGUGUUAUUUUUUGACCCGUUCGGCACCUUACGAGAAUCAAAGUGCUUGGGCUCCAGGGGAGUAUGGUCGCAAGGCUGAACUUAAAGAAAUUGACGGAAGGGCACCACCAGGGGUGGAGCCUGCGGCUUAAUUUGACUCAACACGGGGAAACUCACCAGGUCCAGACACAAUGAGGAUUGACAGAUUGAGAGCUCUUUCUUGAUUUUGUGGGUGGUGGUGCAUGGCCGUUCUUAGUUGGUGGAGUGAUUUGUCUGCUUAAUUGCGAUAACGAACGAGACCUUAACCUGCUAAAUAGCCCGUAUUGCUUUGGCAGUACGCUGGCUUCUUAGAGGGACUAUCGGCUCAAGCCGAUGGAAGUUUGAGGCAAUAACAGGUCUGUGAUGCCUAGAUGUUCUGGGCCGCACGCGCGCUACACUGACGGAGCCAGCGAGUACUUCCUUGUCCGAAAGGUCCGGGUAAUCUUGUUAAACUCCGUCGUGCUGGGGAUAGAGCAUUGCAAUUAUUGCUCUUCAACGAGGAAUCCCUAGUAAGCGCAAGUCAUCAGCUUGCGUUGAUUACGUCCCCUGCCCUUUGUACACACCGCCCGUCGCUACUACCGAUUGAAUGGCUCAGUGAGGCGUCCGGACUGGCCCAGAGAGGUGGGCAACUACCACUCAGGGCCGGAAAGCUCUCCAAACUCGGUCAUUUAGAGAAGUAAAAGUCGUAACAAGGUCUCCGUUGGUGAACCAGCGGAGG
rnacentral:rRNA from 1 species